AGCGUAACUCGGGCACGAGCUCGAGCUCGAGCUCCGCUGCUCGUGUCCGAGUGUCCGACUCGUUUUGCGCGCGACAUUGCGACAACAUACAAAACACGAUGCUUCAAAAGGUUGAAGAAGACGACGAUGAAACGAGCCGAGUGAUAUAGAGCUCAGGUGAGCAGCAACCAUGGCGAUUUGUGGCGAUGUUCCUCUCCUCUCGCUUCGACCUCCUCCGUCGUCUUCGAAGACUCAAAACAUUAUUGGGUUCUUUCACUCGAGGAGUAAACACUUGUGAGAUCACACCCAAAUGGUUGCACAGAGCAACUUUCAAUUGUGUCUCAAAACCCAAUAAUUAUCGGUGUUUCGCAAGGAAACAAAAUGAGAUAUCUACAUUAACUGUUGAUCAUAAUAACGACGAGUUCCUUCUAAAUGCUGCUACCAUGAAUUUCAUUGAGCGAUUGAGCCUAGCUUGGAGGAUAUUAUUUCCAACAACUGCAGAGAGGAAGCACUCUAAUGCGAAGAUUGCAAAGCAGAGACUUAAAAUGAUCCUUUUCUCAGAUAGAUGAGCUCUUAGUGACGAUGCCGAGCAAAAGAUUGUGAAGAAUAUUGUUGAAGCUUUGUCAGAUUUUGUCGAAAUAGAGUCACAAGAUACAGUUCAGCUAAGUCUCUCAGUGGAUGCGGACUUGGGUACCAUGUACUCUGUGACGAUUCCGGUCCGGCGCGUGAAGCCUGAGCAUGGAACAUUUGAGGGCGUUACAAGUGUCGAGUACAAUGAAAGCUUCACCAGUGAUGCAUCUCAUUCAAGUGACGUGGAGCUUGAUUUCAUGCCGAGUGAGCAAUGAUCUAAGAAGGAAGAAGCUUACCUUUUUUGGAAUGCCCACAAAUGAGAGAGAUGGAGCAAGCGAUGGGGGGAAAGUGUGCUCAUAGAGAGGUCCCACUCUACCAUCAUCCACCACAACUAUGCCUUUGGUGUCAAGAAAUGGAAAUGAAUAGGAAUACCUUCAAAGGACAGCAAUGAGUUAUCAAUCCGGCAAAACACCAACAAGCUGAAUGUAACAGCUGAAAUUUAAGGUUGCCCCUUCUUGAAGCCAUGGGAAGCGUCCAUGCAAGGGACAACGCAGCAGGAUCAGUGGAGUUAGUGAUCAUGUUUUUUGGGCAAAUCCUGUAAACACUAGGAGCCAAUCAAUGGGUAUCCACUGGUGCAAUCUUUUCUUUUCUAUAAUUAAUUCACUCAAAGUUGAGGUUGUAUUAUUUGAGGUUUAAGUUACUUUUUCAUUGGUAGAGUUUGUUUGACUUGACUUUUAAUAAAUAUUUGGAGAGGGAAAAAAAAAUUAAGCUUUUAUUGUGGCCAGAAGCUGAAGCAAACUUUUAGGGUUCGAAAUUUUUACUUU